rnacentral:lncRNA from 1 species
GAGUUUGAUUUAGGGUUUAGGAUUUGAUUAGGGUUUGUUUUAGGGUUUAGGAUUUGAUUUAGGAUUUAGUUAGGAUUUGAUUUAGGAUUUGGUUGGAAUUUGGUUUAGGGUUUGUUUAGGAUUUGUUUAAGGUUUGGUUUAGGAUUUGGUUUAGGGUUUAGGAUUUGGUAAAGAUUUGAUUUAGGAUUAGGAUUUGGUUUAGGAUUUAGAAUUUAGUUAGGAUUCAUUUAGGAUAUAGGAUUUGGUUUAAGAUUUGAUUAGGAUUAAGUUUAGGGUUUAGGAUUUGGUUUAGGAUUUAAGAUUUGGUUUAGGAUUUAAGAUUUUAUUAGUGUUUGUAUAGGGUUUAAGAUUUAAUUAGUUUUGGCCUAAAGUUUGAAUGAAGUCUAAUAGGAAUUUAACUAGGAUUAAAUUAAGAUUUAAUUGAGAUGUAUUUGAAAGAUAUUUGUGAUCAUUUUUAUAUUUCUUUAAGAUUUUUUAUUAUUUUCUUUGAAGUUUCUUUGAAUUUGAUUAAAGCUUUCUUAGUAUUAUUAUGGUCUAAUUAGAGUUUAGUUAGUAUUCUAUUAUAGUUAGGAUUUUUUUGUUGCAAUUU